UGAAAAUCUUUGGAAAGGGGAACUCUUCUUGGAUUUUAUGAACAACAAGGGGAAUAUGGAUGGAAUAACUGAAAUUAAGUAACAUCUCUUUCACCGUCUGUCUUUCAACCAUUUUCAGGAGAUAGGGCCAGGGGGCAUGGUGAAGGCAGAGGAGGCCCUAGGGCAGGAGGACUGGAAGGAGAAGUGUUUCAUCCUGGAAGCCCUGCUCAUGAAGUUCCGGGUGCAGAUAAUCAAAAUCAGAGAGCAGACAAGAAACAGAUCCAAGCCCAGGAUUCUAAGGCUGUGGAGGAGAAAACAGCCAAGAUCAAAGAGCGGGUGAUACUGAAACUGUGUGAGUUUAGGGUGUAGAAUGCAGUUCUGAGAGAGACCAACGUUCAGCAGGAGACUCAGAUCCAGGAGCUACAGAAAAAGAUGCAGGCCGUGGAACAGAAGCGAAAAGGUGGUGCCCAGUCCAAGCCAGGGGAGGCCCUGUGUCUCAGCAGCCUGACGUCUGGCUGUUUCCGGGUACAAGGGAAAUCCCCCCAGUUCCUAACAGGCCCGAGCCCACCCAGAGGACCCUCAGCACCCAGCCUGAGGGAGAGGCCAAAGGGAGAAACA